rnacentral:rRNA from 3 species
CCUACGGGAGGCAGCAGUGGGGAAUUUUGGACAAUGGGCGAAAGCCUGAUCCAGCAAUGCCGCGUGUGUGAAGAAGGCCUUCGGGUUGUAAAGCACUUUUGUCCGGAAAGAAAUGGCUCUGGUUAAUACCUGGGGUCGAUGACGGUACCGGAAGAAUAAGGACCGGCUAACUACGUGCCAGCAGCCGCGGUAAU